rnacentral:rRNA from 1 species
GCGAACUACGGGACAGCAGCCGCGGUAAUACGGAGGGGGCAAGUGUGAGCCGGAUUUAGUGGGUGUAAAGGGAGCGUAGACGGCACGGCAAGCCAGAUGUGAAAGCCCGCGGCUCAACCCCGGGACUGCAUUUGGAACUGCUGAGCUAGAGUGUCGGAGAGGCAAGUGGAAUUCCUAGUGUAGCGGUGAAAUGCGUAGAUAUUAGGAGGAACACCAGUGGCGAAGGCGGCUUGCUGGACGAUGACUGACGUUGAGGCUCGAAAGCGUGGGGAGCAAACAGGAUUAGAUACCCUAGUAGUC